UAAAGGUUCCACGGCAUAACAAUUUCACUUUAUGAGUUUUAUUAACAUUAAUAUGAGUUCUCCCGGCCUGCCUAUGGUCCCCCAGUGGCUUGAAAUAGUGAUAGGUGUAAACCGAGCCCUGGG